UACGUAGGGUGCGAGCGUUGUCCGGAAUUAUUGGGCGUAAAGAGCUCGUAGGCGGUGUGUCGCGUCGGCCGUGAAAACCUGGGGCUUAACUCUGGGCGUGCGGUCGAUACGGGCAGACUAGAGUUCGGCAGGGGAGACUGGAAUUCCUGGUGUAGCGGUGAAAUGCGCAGAUAUCAGGAGGAACACCGGUGGCGAAGGCGGGUCUCUGGGCCGAUACUGACGCUGAGGAGCGAAAGCGUGGGGAGCGAACAGG
rnacentral:rRNA from 1 species